rnacentral:rRNA from 1 species
GACGAACGCUGGCGGCGUGCCUAAUACAUGCAAGUAGAACGCACAGUUUAUACCGUAGCUUGCUACACCAUAAACUGUGAGUUGCGAACGGGUGAGUAACGCGUAGGUAACCUGCCUUGUAGCGGGGGAUAACUAUUGGAAACGAUAGCUAAUACCGCAUAAUAUUGAUUAUUGCAUGAUAAUUGAUUGAAAGAUGCUAUUGCAUCACUACCAGAUGGACCUGCGUUGUAUUAGCUAGUAGGUGAGGUAACGGCUCACCUAGGCGACGAUACAUAGCCGACCUGAGAGGGUGAUCGGCCACACUGGGACUGAGACACGGCCCAGACUCCUACGGGAGGCAGCAGUAGGGAAUCUUCGGCAAUGGACGAAAGUCUGACCGAGCAACGCCGCGUGAGUGAAGAAGGGUUUCGGAUCGUAAAGCUCUGUUGUAAGAGAAGAACGGGUGUGAGAGUGGAAAGUUCACACUGUGACGGUAUCUUACCAGAAAGGGACGGCUAACUACGUG